rnacentral:rRNA from 1 species
UAGGGAAUCUUCCGCAAUGGACGCAAGUCUGACGGAGCAACGCCGCGUGAGUGAAGAAGGAUUUCGGUUCGUAAAACUCUGUUGUUAGAGAAGAACAGCGCAUAGAGUAACUGUUAUGCGUGUGACGGUAUCUAACCAGAAAGCCACGGCUAACUACGUGCCAGCAGCCGCGGUAAUACGUAGGUGGCAAGCGUUGUCCGGAUUUAUUGGGCGUAAAGCGAGCGCAGGCGGUCAAUUAAGUCUGAUGUGAAAGCCCCCGGCUCAACCGGGGAGGGUCAUUGGAAACUGGUUGACUUGAGUGCAGAAGAGGAGAGUGGAAGUCCAUGUGUAGCGGUGAAAUGCGUAGAUAUAUGGAGGAACACCAGUGGCGAAGGCGACUCUCUGGUCUGUAACUGACGCUGAGGCUCGAAAGCGUGGGUAGCAAACAGG